rnacentral:tRNA from 1 species
AGCUCUGAGGUGUUACACGUUAGAUUGCAAAUCUAGAGAAGCAGGUUAAACGCCUGCCGGGGCUU